AUGAAACUAAGGACAAAACGACCUGGAUGGAAGUCCCUCGUGCCUCUGCAGUUGAGCAGGAAAUCCACCAUGCGCUUCUUUCUGUUUCCCAAGGUUCAGGCAUCCGGUCAAUCUCCAAAUGAUACUCCGGUUUAUCUUAAUGUGUAUGAUUUGACACCCAUGAAUGGCUACAUAUAUUGGGCAGGCCUUGGUAUAUUUCACUCUGGCAUUGAAGUUCAUGGCGUCGAAUAUGCAUUUGGAGCACAUGAUUAUCCCACAAGCGGAGUAUUUGAGGUAGAACCUCGUCAAUGUCCUGGUUUCAGAUUCAGGAGAUCAAUAUUCCUUGGUACGACGUGCUUAGAUCCCAUCCAAGUUAGGCAGUUCAUGGAGCUACAGUCAGUAAACUACAAUGGAGAUUCUUACCAUCUUAUCAUGAAGAAUUGCAACCACUUUUGCAAGGAUAUGUGUUACAAAUUGACCGGCAGCAAAAUUCCAAAAUGGGUGAAUCGGCUCGCCAGAAUAGGUGCCAUCUGCAACUGCCUCCUCCCGGAGUCUCUCAAGAUUUCCCCGGUCGGCCAUGAUCCAAACAGCCAGCCCGAGGAUUCAGAGAAGCGCCGCCUGCGAAACCCGUUAAGCUGCUUCUCCUCCAUCUCGAGCCAGAGAGCGCUUCCCCCGUCUUCUUCCCCUUUCCCUCCAUCGCCCGUGAAAGAGCCCAUUCUGAGCUCUUCAUUGAGGAAAUCCAGCACCGCGUCGCUCAAGAGUAGGUAG
rnacentral:rRNA from 1 species